rnacentral:rRNA from 1 species
GAGACUCUGUGCGCGUGCAUAUCAAUAAGCGGAGGAAAAGAAACUAACAAGGAUUCCCUUAGUAACGGCGAGUGAAGCGGGAAGAGCUCAAAUCUGAAAUCUUCAAGGUUCUACCUUGACGAAUUGUAGUUUAUAGAAGUGUUUUCUGUUAGUAGAGUGGCAAAAGUUCUCUGAAAUAGGACAUCAUAGAGGGUGAGAAUCCCGUAUUUGGUCAUUCCUUCUAGCUUUGUGAUACACUUUCAAAGAGUCGGAUUGUUUGGGAAUGCAGUCCAAAAUGGGUGGUAAAUUUCAUCUAAAGCUAAAUAUUGGCGAGAGACCGAUAGCGAACAAGUACCGUGAGGGAAAGAUGAAAAGAACUUUGAAAAGAGAGUUAAACAGUACGUGAAAUUGUCAAAAGGGAAGCGUUUGACACCAGUGUUGUUUUUCCGAAAAUCAAUUAAAAAUUGAUUCAUGCCAGGUUGUAUUGACCUUAUCAGCUUGCAAUUUGGUUUUGGGUCUCUUUUUGAUGCACUUUUCGGUUAACAAGUCAACAUCAAUUUCCUUUGCUGUAAAAAGGUAAGAGGAAGGUGGCUUCAAUUUCGGUUGAAGUGUUUAUAGCCUUUUAUCUCUGCAGUCGGGGAGAUUGAGGUCUGCAGCGUAGAUCCUUCGGGGCUAGAUACAUUUAUGCUAAGUUAUAGCUUUUCAUAGACAACUUGUUGACUAUGUUUAGUCAUGUAGCUUACUCGUAAGUGCUAUUUUACCUACGCUUAGGAUGUUGAUCUGUAGUGCGUGCGC